GACAGCAGCAGCCACGGUAAUGCGAAGGGUGCAAGCGUUACUCGGAAUUACUGGGCGUAAAGCGUGCGUAGGUGGUGGUUUAAGUCCGUUGUGAAAGCCCUGGGCUCAACCUGGGAAUUGCAGUGGAUACUGGCUCGCUAGAGUGUGUCAGAGGAUGGUGGAAUUCCCGGUGUAGCGGUGAAAUGCGUAGAGAUCGGGAGGAACAUCAGUGGCGAAGGCGGCCAUCUGGGACAACACUGACGCUGAGGCACGAAAGCGUGGGGAGCAAACAGGAUUAGAUACCCCUGUAGUCCCUGUCUCUUAUAC
rnacentral:rRNA from 1 species